AAAUAGUUGACAUAUUUAUUUGUUGUCAGAGGAGAUUGAAAGUUGAAGAAACUGCACAUAAAUGGCUUUUGCAGUGAAGCAUAUAUUGGCAGCGAUGUUUUUUGUUCUUCUAUUUUCAUCAGGUAUGAGCAGUCAACAUUGUCUGGGGCCAUGUGCAAAAUAUCCAGACUGUGACGGAACUUGCAAGAAGGCUUCGUAUCAGAUAGGGCAAUGCGUUCACGUUCAACCAAACAAUGACUUUUGUUGUUGUGCUAAGUAUAUUGUGAAACCUGCAAAAAUGGAAUAAUUUAACUAAUGGGAACAAAACAAUGUAUUACUGAGUUUUAAAUAAAAUGAAUCUAUUAGCUUUAUUCCUGGGACAA